rnacentral:rRNA from 1 species
AGUCAAUAGAUACCCUGGUAGUCCACGCCGUAAACGAUGUCGACUUGGAGGUUGUGCCCUUGAGGCGUGGCUUCCGGAGCUAAACGCGUUAAGUCGACCGCCUGGGGAGUACGGCCGCAAGGUUAAAACUCAAAUGAAUUGACGGGGGCCCGCACAAGCGGUGGAGCAUGUGGUUUAAUUCGAUGCAACGCGAAGAACCUUACCUACUCUUGACAUCCAGAGAACUUAGCAGAGAUGCUUUGGUGCCUUCGGGAACUCUGAGACAGGUGCUGCAUGGCUGUCGUCAGCUCGUGUUGUGAAAUGUUGGGUUAAGUCCCGCAACGAGCGCAACCCUUAUCCUUUGUUGCCAGCGGUUAGGCCGGGAACUCAAAGGAGACUGCCAGUGAUAAACCUGGAGGAAGGUGGGGUAUGACGUCAAGUCAUCAUGGCCCUUACGAGUAGGGCUACACACGUGCUACAAUGGCGCAUACAAACGAGAAGCGACCUCGCGAGAGCAAGCGGACCUCAUAAA